AUAGGAAUAGAGUAAUGGUAGCUCGUAGGGCUCAUGACCCUGAGGUCAAGGUUCGAUUCCUUGUUCCACAUU
rnacentral:tRNA from 1 species